CACCGCCCGUCGCUCCUACCGAUUGAAUGAUCCGGUGAAGUGUUCGGAUCGCGGCGACGUAGGCGGUUCGCUGCCCGCGACGUCGCGAGAAGUCCACUGAACCUUAUCAUUUAGAGGAAGGAGAAGUCGUAAAAAGGUUUCCGUAGGUGAACCUGCGGAAG
rnacentral:ncRNA from 1 species